rnacentral:rRNA from 1 species
UAAAAUUAAAAAAUUUGGCGGUAUUUUAGUCUUUUCAGAGGAACCUGUUCUAUAAUUGAUAAUCCACGAUUAAUUGUACUUAUUUUAUAAAUUUAUAUAUCGUCGUAGUUUGAAUAUUUUAAAAGAAUAAUUAAUAUUCAAGAUUUUUUAUAAUAAAAUAAAUCAGAUCAAGGUGUAGUUUAUAAAUAAGAAGAAAUGGGUUACAUUUAAUUUAUUAUUGAAUAAAUUUUUUUAAAAAAAUUUUGAAAUUGGAUUUGAAAGUAAUAUUUUAUAUUUAUUAAUUAUGAUUUAAGCUCUAAAAUAUGUACAUAUUGCCCGUCGCUUUCAUUUUAAAAUGAGAUAAGUCGUAACAAAGUAGAUUUACUGGAAAGUGAAUCUAGAAAA